CCCGCCGGACCUGACUGCUAUCGGAUUGAUACUAAGCCAUGCGAGUCAUUGUAGCAAUACAAGGCAGACGGCUCAGUAACGCGUAGUCAACCUAACCUAUGGACGGGAAUAACCUCGGGAAACUGAGAAUAAUGCCCGAUAGAACACUAUAUCUGGAAUGGUUUGUGUUCCAAAUGAUUUAUCGCCGUAGGAUGGGACUGCGGCCUAUCAGUUUGUUGGUGAGGUAAUGGCCCACCAAGACUAUUACAGGUACGGGCUCUGAGAGGAGUAGCCCGGAGAUGGGUACUGAGACACGGACCCAGGCCCUAUGGGGCGCAGCAGGCGAGAAAACUUUGCAAUGUGCGAAAGCACGACAAGGUUAAUCCGAGUGGUUUCUGCUAAAGGAACCUUUUGUCGGUCCCAGAAACACCGAUGAAUAAGGGGUGGGCAAGUUCUGGUGUCAGCCGCCGCGGUAAAACCAGCACCUCAAGUGGUCAGGAUGAUUAUUGGGCCUAAAGCAUCCGUAGCCUGCUUUGUUAGUUUUCGGUUAAAUCUAUACGCUCAACGUAUAGGCUGCCGGGAAUACUGCAAAGCUAGGGAGUGGGAGAGGUAGACGGUACUCGGUAGGAAGGGGUAAAAUCCUUUGAUCUAUUGAUGACCACCUGUGGCGAAGGCGGUCUACCAGAACACGUCCGACGGUGAGGGAUGAAAGCUGGGGGAGCAAACCGGAUUAGAUACCCGGGUAGUCCCAGCCGUAAACCAUGCAAACUCAGUGAUGCAUUGGCUUGUGGCCAAUGCAGUGCUGCAGGGAAGCCGUUAAGUUUGCCGCCUGGGAAGUACGUACGCAAGUAUGAAACUUAAAGGAAUUGGCGGGGGAGCACCACAA
rnacentral:rRNA from 1 species